UACAGAGGUGCCGAGCGUUAGGCGGAAUCACUGGGCUUAAAGCGUGUGUAGGCGGAUCGUUAAGUAUCUUGUGAAAUCCCACGGCUCAACCGUGGAACUGCUGGGUAUACUGGCGAUCUUGAGCAGCUUAGGGGCAGACGGAACAAGUGGUGGAGCGGUGAAAUGCGUAGAUAUCACUUGGAACGCCGACGGUGAAAACAGUCUGCUGGGAGCUUGCUGACGCUGAGACACGAAAGCCAGGGGAGCGAACGGG
rnacentral:rRNA from 1 species